CGCUCGCGCUCGCGCCGCCCACCUCCCCUCCCGUUCCUCCAGCCUCGCCUCCCUCUCCCUCCAAACCCUAGAACAGCGCCUGCCUCCUUGCCCCGCCGCCAUCAUCUCCUUCGUCGAGCCGACGACCCAUGGCGCGCCCGUCUGCUCCGCCCGCGCUCGCGUCGCCCCCUCUCCUCUUCCUCGCGCCUCGCCUCUCUCUCCCUCCUAACCCUAACCCACUCCCGCCUCCCUGCCCCGCCGCCGGCCGCCGCCGCUCGCCUGGGCACCCAUCCUCGACCUCAAGCUGGGCCAGGCGACGGCCAUGGCGUGGAUCUCUUGCCCCUCUCUUCGUGCUCUUUUCCCUCGAUCUGUCGGGACCACCCUCCUCCUCCGCGUCCUCUCGUUCUCCUCUCCGGCGGUCGGCGACGAGGCGUCGGAACUGACGGAGCAGCGGGGCCGUCGAGCGAGGGCACGAGCAGGGUACAGACCCUAGCCGUGCGUGUGCAUAAGGUCGAGCACGACAGCGAUGAUGGGCGCCGUCGCCAUCGGCCGGAGUAGCACAUGCUCACGCCGCUGCUCCGUAGGGUUCAUCAUCGUGUUGCCAUCGUCCUUGUUUUUUGCGUGCACGCAGGAAACCAACAGUCUUCAAUGUAGUGAGAGCUGGAUGUGUUGUCCGCCAGCUGAGCGGCAAGCCGUUGAUGCAAGUCGUUGUACAUGGUGCUGCUAUUCAGAAAUUCUAGCUAGGGCAUGAAACAGAAGAAAGCUUGAGACAAUCAUCAUGUGCCUGCUCAAAGGCUUGGUUAACAAAGGUGACAAUAAGAUGUGUGGACAACUAAUUGCCAGGUGGCUAACUUGAUGGUUUUAUUGCUGUUGCAUAUGUGUGAGAUUUCUUUCCUCACUACCCAUGCUGACAUAAAUAUUCUGUUGUUCUAUUUCAGAUUACACGAUCUGCUUUCUUAUAUUCUCUGUGCACAAAUUAUUUACUUCCUUGAGCUAUGAUUUUAGACUGUCAAUAGUUGAUCAAUGUGGAGGUAAGAAAGAUUGUUUGAUGCGUUUAGCUAUAUCAGUUCAUGAGUAUUUGCAGCUAUGUACACUCAGGUGAUCAUUCAUUGAUUCACCCAUUUCUUUCUCCUUACAAUUAAUUCUCUAAAUCUUGAGUCCAUUGAUUGAUUUGUUUCCAUGAGUUACUAUGAGGUAUUGUGUGUGAAGGAUCUUACUGCCAUAGUUUUGUGUAUGACACCAAAUAAAGUUCACGGCCUUAAAUGGAGGGUUAAUUAAAGUGGUCCCAUGUUACUUAAAUUCAUAUUUGAUAUCUUAUGGUAUGUUGCUUCAGCAAUUGUGUCAUUUGCUUAAUUGGCAGAUCCGGCCAAGGGUGAUUAAGGCGCCAAUCACAUUUUCAUGCAUCCUGAGCGAGGAGGAGCGGUGGAUCACUCUCGUGAUGUUGGCCAUGUUGGAUGCAACCGGCGAUCUGCUCGCGGAAGAUGAGCUGCACUGGAUGUGGAGCUGCGCUGGAGCAGCGGAGCGGCGGAUUUGCGGCGGCGCCGUCGUCCUCAUGUUGUCAUCAUCCUCACGAGUCCACACAUGGAGAAGGAGCAGCCGCCAUGGAGUACUCCAGGAGCGGAUCAUGCCCAACAGGACCACGCCCAGGACAUGGCCGUGGAUCAAACUGCUGCACCCUGGGGCUGGUGCUUGUGAUGUGCGACGAGGAGAAGCGAUUUGAAAUCCUGGGAGCAAAGGAGGAAGACGACGAUGGGGAUAGCGAUUCAAAACAGGGAUAGCGAUGUAAAUUCCUUUGUUUUCACCUGGUUGUAACGUUUUCUUCAACAACAUAUUUUGGAACGGAGGGAGUAGUUUUAUGCCGGUAUUGAGCACCAUUAUGUCUCGCUCCUAUCACAAUUUAAUAUUUCUCCUUCAUUGUAUUGUUAUCAUAUAUGAAUACACAUGAUAAACCUGGAUUACUAUCGACUAAGCAUUCCCUGCUUGAUCAA